UGGGGAAUAUUGCACAAUGGGGGAAACCCUGAUGCAGCAACGCCGCGUGAGUGAUGACGGUCUUCGGAUUGUAAAGCUCUGUCUUCAGGGACGAUAAUGACGGUACCUGAGGAGGAAGCCACGGCUAACUACGUGCCAGCAGCCGCGGCAAUACGUAGGUGGCAAGCGUUGUCCGGAUUUACUGGGCGUAAAGGGAGCGUAGGUGGAUAUUUAAGUGGGAUGUGAAAUACUCGGGCUUAACCUGGGUGCUGCAUUCCAAACUGGAUAUCUAGAGUGCAGGAGAGGAAAGUAGAAUUCCUAGUGUAGCGGUGAAAUGCGUAGAGAUUAGGAAGAAUACCAGUGGCGAAGGCGACUUUCUGGACUGUAACUGACACUGAGGCUCGAAAGCGUGGGGAGCAAACA
rnacentral:rRNA from 1 species